rnacentral:rRNA from 1 species
AUUGAACGCUGGCGGCAUGCUUUACACAUGCAAGUCGAACGGCAGCGGGGAGGAGCUUGCUUCUCUGCCGGCGAGUGGCGAACGGGUGAGUAAUACAUCGGAACGUGUCGAGAAGAGGGGGAUAACCACCCGAAAGGGUGGCUAAUACCGCAUAAAUUCUGAGGAAGAAAGCUGGGGACCUAGGAAUAGGCCUAGCGCUUUUUGAGCGGCCGAUGUCGGAUUAGCUAGUUGGUGAGGUAAAGGCUCACCAAGGCGAAGAUCUGUAGCGGGUCUGAGAGGAUGAUCCGCCACACUGGGACUGAGACACGGCCCAGACUCCUACGGGAGGCAGCAGUGGGGAAUUUUGGACAAUGGGGGCAACCCUGAUCCAGCCAUGCCGCGUGUAUGAAGAAGGCCUUAGGGUUGUAAAGUGCUUUUGUUAGGGAAGAAAAGUCAGCUGUGAAUAAUGGCUGAUACUGACGGUACCUAAAGAAUAAGCACCGGCUAACUACGUG